rnacentral:rRNA from 2 species
UAAGAAUUUAAAAGUCGAACAGACUUAUUGUUAAGAAUUCUGCCCCUUAAAAUUUUCUUAAUUCAACAUCGAGGUCGCAAAAUACAAUAUAGAUGUGAACUCCCCAUUUAAAUUACGCUGUUAUCCCUAAGGUAACUUAGUCUUAUUAUCCUUUCAAAGGGAUCUAAAAUUACAUAAACAAAUGAAAAUUUUAACUAAAGUUAACCAUUUAGCUGCCACCCCAGCAAAAUAAAACAUGAACAUUAAAAAGUAUAUCAAUAAAACUUAUUAACAUAAACUCAUAUAAAGUUCUGUAGGGUCUUAUCGUCCCAAUAAAUUAAUAAAGCAUUUUAACUUUAAAUUUAAAUUUUAAUAUUUAAAGAAAUAAAACAUAAUUCUCAUACAUCCAUUCAUACAAGCUUUCAAUUAAAAAACUAAUUACUAUGCUACCUUUGCACAGUCAAAAUACUGCAGCCAUUUAGAAAUUAACCAUAGGGCAGAAGAUACUUUUUAUAAAAACA